CUUUUAUUCUCUUAGCUUAUAUUGUUCACUUUUUUCAGAUGAAGGGAGUCAAGGUGAGGGAGAAAAGGCGGGAAAUUGCAGACAAGAGGAACGGACCGUGAGAAGCAGAAAGAGAAGAAUGAGAGGAAAUCAACAUAAUCUCAACUGUUGGAAUAUAUUUCAUGAGAAAGAGAGCAUGUGAAGGAAACUCUGGCUGGUGACGGGAUGAGACGGGGAUGAAGCCAACAGUACAACAGCGACAUUGACAACCUUCGUCCUUCCAACCGUCAAAAACACUUCAAGAUAAAAGAAGACAUUUUCCUCAUCCAAAAAUGUUACUUUAAGCAGCGAUUUUGUGUGUUUGAGUCCAUAAAAGGCAUUUUUUUAACAAAUUAAAUGCAAAAAAAAAGAAAGAAAAAAACCACAAUAGGGACAUCAUUUUUAGAACAUUGCGGACAAGAGGGUGAGAUCCAUCGUACGUGGCAAUGGGAGGGGGGCAGAGAGGUGUUUUACAGUGGGAGGGGGGAGAAGGGGUGAGACAGGAAGUAGAGGGCUCCUGUCUGUGGCUAUAGAGGACGAGGCAGUGAGACCUGCUGGCUCCACCACAAGGCUUAUCUCCAUAACAACCGCUCCUGUCUGCUUCAGAAGCUAUCGGCGUCUCCGCAGAAAGCUAGGCUAUCCCGCCUCGUUCGCUUUGCCCUUCGCUCUUCUCCAGUUCGGAGGGUCGACCGACGCUGAAUAGAUGGCCAACCGCUACGUGCUAAUAGUAUAAUUGAGGUACCACACCACAGUCUUCUGAUUUAAUCGAAUAAUGAUAAAAUACCAGCACGUUCACCCAACCAGGCUGGUGGUAUGUAUGCCAAAUGUUUUUCUCGAAGUAAGGGAAUUAAGAAAAAUAACUGCAAACCAAAACAAAUUAAGUGCUCCAAAAUAGCAAACAAUGUUGAACAUUGAGAGAAAGAAAUAACACAAAAUGAAAACCACAAAAAACAGGACCAAUGUAAACCAAUAAAUUAUCUCCUUCGGAACUUCUUCCAGAAUUAUCUCUAAGGUACCCUUACAUACAACAACCAAAACAAAACAAAUGGCAGACAUCUUGAGGCCAACUGCAGUUGUGUCGUGGACAGAUGUAUUUUGUAAUUUCAUAUUUCUCCUCUCAGUCUCCCAUAGUUUCAGCUGCUCCUUAGGUUAGGAUAGGUAUAGGUUAGGAGCCAAGCAACAAUCGUAUAGUAUAGUAACCAGGGUGAAACCUCCACAUGAGAGGGAAAAGAAUACAAUUAAAUAAAACAUGGUUAGAAAAAAAAGACAAUAAUCACAAUAACCCCCCAUCCCAAAUCUGCGUUAAUGACAAGACAAUGACUGAAGAAAAAACAUUAGAAGACUGCUUGUAUACCUCCGAUUUUAACCCUUCUCUCGGUUUGCAGGAAUUACAUAAUCAACGAGAAUCACAAGAUCACCCCAAUACAGUGAACCUCCGUGUGCAUUUAAUUCCAGCCUAUCAAAAACAAAGAAACAAUAAAUCAGCAACGAACCUCCCCUUUAAGGAUCUCUACCUUAUAGUAAGCCCACACCUACUGAAUACAAGCCAACCGGCCCAAACUCUGGGCAUGAGCUUUCCAUCUGUUGCUGUCCAAGAGCAAUGCCCGGGCCGUUAAUAUAUCUCUGUACAUUAGUAUAUAUUCUCAUCUCUCUUUACUUUACAGUACAGAACACUCCUCUUCACAUAUCAUCUCCGGUUCUUCAUGUCAGCAGGAGUUUUAUGUUUUUUGUGCUUAUCACCAAGAAUUGCAGUGCAAAAACAAUAAUUAAUUAAUUAUAACAAUAGUAAUGGUCAUUAAUCAAAUGAUACCUAUUAACAAACAAUGGAUUAUUAUAAAACAAUUAUUUUUUAUGGCACAAUCGCCACGCAAUUCACAUAUAAUACAAAUAACCAGAUAAAACCCAACUGCACCUGUAAAUAGAAAAUAAAAAACUCAAACUGAAAUAGGCUUGCAUAGCAAUGCAACGACAAUUAAAAGGACGUAUUUACAGGAAACAUAAUUCAGUUAUUUUCCACUGAGGGCAGUUCCUUUAACAAAUUAACCGUUUCUCGUAUAGAGGUUGUGUUUUACAUUUUUUCUCCUUUUGUUUGUUGUUUUUUUAACAAAAAAGAAAAUUACAAUUACGUUAGAAGGUGGAAAAUAUUUUCUCGAAGCACAGAAACAGUGAGAUGCACAGUAUGUCUGCGUCUGUACAUCGCAUUUACAGUUCUGCGACCUGGCGCCUUCCCCUCUGCCUCAGUCCGUCUCCGUGAGAGGAUACAGGAGCGGUCAAAGUUCAUGGUACCUUCUAACGAGGUGUCUCUUUCUCUCUCUCCCUCUGAUGACAACAUCCUCCUGGCUGGUCACUCUGGAAGGGGAGAGCGGGAGGGAAUAGACAUUCAGCACACGGCAAAAGACCAACCCAAAAGGACCAAAAUACAAACACAACGUUUGGUUCCAAACAUUGCAACAAUAACACUGACUGAAAUAAAUACAGACAGAAGGAGGUGUAUCUGUAUUCAUUUCUGUCUAUUUGUACAGACUUACAGACUAUUUAAACAUACAUACAGCGACAAUAUAUAGAUACUUGAUAGAUAGACAUACAAGAUAGAUACAUAUAGAUAGAUGUAUAGGUACUAUAUAUA
ensembl:lncRNA